rnacentral:rRNA from 1 species
AGUCGAACGAGAAAGUGGAGCAAUCCAUGAGUAAAGUGGCGCACGGGUGAGUAACACGUGACUAACCUACCCUUGAGUGCAGAAUAACUUCGGGAAACCGAGGCUAAUACCGCAUAACAUCUACGGAUCAAAGGAGCAAUUCGCUUAAGGAGGGGGUCGCGGCAGAUUAGUUAGUUGGCGGGGUAAUGGCCCACCAAGACGAUGAUCUGUAUCCGGCCUGAGAGGGCGCACGGACACACUGGAACUGAAACACGGUCCAGACUCCUACGGGAGGCAGCAGUGGGGAAUUUUGCGCAAUGGGGGAAACCCUGACGCAGCAACGCCGCGUGGAGGAUGAAAUCCCUUGGGAUGUAAACUCCUUUCGAUAGGGACGAUAAUGACGGUACCUAUAGAAGAAGCCCCGGCUAACUUCGUGCCAGCAGCCGCGGUAAUACGAGGGGGGCAAGCGUUGUUCGGAAUUAUUGGGCGUAAAGGGUGCGUAGGCGGUCUGAUAAGUCUGAUGUGAAAUCGAUGGGCUCAACCCAUCGUCUGCAUUAGAAACUGUCGGGCUUGAGUAUGGGAGAGGUGAGUGGAAUUUCCGGUGUAGCGGUGAAAUGCGUAGAUAUCGGAAGGAACACCUGUGGCGAAAGCGGCUCACUGGACCAUUACUGACGCUGAUGCACGAAAGCUAGGGGAGCAAACAGGAUUAGAUACCCUGGUAGUCCUAGCCCUA